rnacentral:rRNA from 1 species
UACGAAGGGGGCUAGCGUUGUUCGGAAUUACUGGGCGUAAAGCGUAUGCAGGCGGAUCAUUAAGUCGGGGGUGAAAUCCCGAGGCUCAACCUCGGAACUGCCUUCGAUACUGGCGAUCUUGAGUCCGGGAGAGGUGAGUGGAACUCCGAGUGUAGAGGUGAAAUUCGUAGAUAUUCGGAAGAACACCAGUGGCGAAGGCGGCUCACUGGCCCGGUACUGACGCUGAGAUACGAAAGCGUGGGGAGCAAACAGG